GCUUGAUGAAAUUGUACUGGUCAAGUCAGUCAAACCAGUCAAGCGGACAAGAAAGAGGGACUCAGAUCACCUGGAAUUAUGGCAAUGUCUUGCAAGGAUACUUCUGAAAAUCGGGUGUCACGGGAAGCUGAACUUUGCAUCCCAGUUCUGAAACAUACAGCAACCUCAUGGAGACAGAUGCAUCACUCGGCAUUUUGGGGUGGUAGCAAGUUCAGUGACCUGCCAGAUUUCUUAGCAUUAACUUGAAAGAGAAGACACUUAUUUGAUUUGAUUUGAUUUCUACUAGUCAAGUGGGCACCUGGAUUAAGCAGACUCUCCCCCCAGGCACCCCAGAGGCCUCUGACAUCCCUUAUGUCCAGCCCAGACACGGCCUUUCUGUGGCCUCAGCGUAUCUGCCCAGUCCAAUCGGCUAUAGCCAGAAUAAAAAGGGAGGAAGAUCCAAGAGAGGGAAGGAGGCUUUCCCAGCUACUUUCCUGCUAACCAGGGCAGAGGCUGGUCUGCAUCCCCCUAUCCAGGUGGCCCCUGCAGUCAUGGCUUUUCUGCUUCUAGAAGCCAUCCCUGAGAACAUCAUUGCAGAACUCAAAAUACAUUGCAUCAUACAAAAUGAAGUGGAGAAUUAAGGUAAUUAUCCAAUUAUUAAAAACCAUUUCUUAUUCGUUAGCUAAAUAACUCUUCAAGUCUCCAUUUUGCAUGUGUUCCUCUGAUGUGAAUUUGACCCUGGCCUAUUUGUUUUUCAGUAAAGUCCAAAAUCCAAAAUAGCCCAACAGAAAGACCCCCUCCCAGUAUUCCACAGCAUCAGUAAUAAAGCUCCUUAUCAGAUCUAAUUUGAAUCUUUCUUGAAACAACUUAAGUCCUUCUGCACCAUCCUCUGCAAGUGCAGAACAGCCAGAGUGCAGGUUGCAGGAUGUGGGGGGAUUAUUACAGUGAAAUCGGCACAUGGAUCUCAAGAUGAAAGUUUGCUGUUUCUCCAGACCGUCUAGGUGACUGCCUUUUGAAAUCGCACACGGCUUAUACUGCCAUUCGUGUAGUUUAAGAAAAAAAUUAAAUAAAAGUGCAAAAGGAAACCAG
rnacentral:lncRNA from 1 species